rnacentral:rRNA from 1 species
ACUACGUGCCAGCAGCUGCGGUAAUACGUAGGGUGCGAGCGUUGUCCGGAAUUACUGGGCGUAAAGAGCUCGUAGGUGGUUUGUCGCGUUGUUCGUGAAAUCUCACGGCUUAACUGUGAGCGUGCGGGCGAUACGGGCAGACUAGAGUACUGCAGGGGAGACUGGAAUUCCUGGUGUAGCGGUGGAAUGCGCAGAUAUCAGGAGGAACACCGGUGGCGAAGGCGGGUCUCUGGG